GACGAACGCUGGCGGCGUGCUUAACACAUGCAAGUCGAACGGAAAGGCCCUGCUUUUGUGGGGUGCUCGAGUGGCGAACGGGUGAGUAACACGUAAGUAACCUGCCCUUGACUUUGGGAUAACUUCAGGAAACUUGGGCUAAUACGGGAUAGGAGCUCCUGCUGCAUGGUGGGGGUUGGAAAGUUUCGGCGGUUGGGGAUGGACUCGCGGCUUAUCAGCUUGUUGGUGGGGUAGUGGCUUACCAAGGCUUUGACGGGUAGCCGGCCUGAGAGGGUGAGCGGCCACAUUGGGACUGGGAUACGGCCCAGACUAGUACGCGAGGCAGCAGUGGGGAAUAUUGCACAAUGGGCGGAAGCCUGAUGCAGCAACGCCGCGUGCGGGAUGACGGCCUUCGGGUUGUAAACCGCUUUCGCCUGUGACGAAGCGUGAGUGACGGUAAUGGGUAAAGAAGCACCGGCUAACUACGUG
rnacentral:rRNA from 1 species